rnacentral:rRNA from 1 species
UGAGGAAUAUUGGUCAAUGGGCGCAAGCCUGAACCAGCCAAGUAGCGUGCAGGAAGACGGCCCUAUGGGUUGUAAACUGCUUUUAUACGAGAAUAAUUUGAUGCACGUGUGCGUUAUUGCAUGUAUCGUAUGAAUAAGGACCGGCUAAUUCCGUGCCAGCAGCCGCGGUAAUACGGAAGGUCCAGGCGUUAUCCGGAUUUAUUGGGUUUAAAGGGAGUGUAGGCGGUUUGUUAAGCGUGUUGUGAAAUUUAGGUGCUCAACAUUUAACUUGCAGCGCGAACUGUCAGACUUGAGUACACGCAACGUAUGCGGAAUUCAUGGUGUAGCGGUGAAAUGCUUAGAUAUCAUGAAGAACUCCGAUUGCGAAGGCAGCAUACGGGAGUGUAACUGACGCUUAAGCUCGAAGGUGCGGGUAUCGAACAGGAUUAGAUACCCUGGUAGUCCGCACAGUAAACGAUGGAUGCCCGCUGUUAGCGCCUGGCGUUAGCGGCUAAGCGAAAGCAUUAAGCAUCCCACCUGGGGAGUACGCCGGCNACGGU